CCCCCCCCCCCCCCCCCCCCCCCCCCCCCCCCCCCCCCCCCAUUGGGGGGAGUGGGGACACUGGGGACAUGGGGACAGUCGGGGAACUGGGGGAGUGGGGGCUCACGGGGGGAAUUGGGGGACAUGCGGGGAGUGAGGACAUUGGGGAAUUGGGGACAUUGGGGACAUUGGAGGACACUGCUGGAUGGGGGAUGGGAGGAUGGGGGCGGGAGGAGGAGAAUGUGGUUGGGGAUGGAAAUUUGGGAUUAUGGGAUGUUGGGAUUUCGGGAUGUUGGAAUUUUGGGGUGUUGGGAUGUUGGUAUUUCCCGAUUUAGGAAUUUUGGGGUGCUGGGAUUUUUGACUUUUGGAUUGUGGGAUGUUGGGAUUUUGUGGUGUUGGGAUUUUGGGGUGUUGGGAUUUUGGGAUGUUGGGAUUUUUGGGUUGUGGGAUGUUGGGAUUUUGUGGUGUUGGGAUUUUGGGGUGUUGGGAUUUUGGGAUGUUGUAUAACAGAAUUGGGUACUGCAUUUGGGACUUUGGGGUGUUGGGAGUUGGGAUGUUGGGAUUUUGGAAUGCUGAGAUUUUGGGGUCUUUGGUGUUGGGUCUUGGAUUUUGGGAUGUUGAAUGUUGGAAUUUUGGGAAUUUUUGGCCAUUAGGAUCUUGAGAUUUAGGGAUUUUGGGAUGUUGGAUGUGGAAUUUUAGGACUUUGGGAUGUUGGGAUUGUUGGGAUUUGGGUCUUGGAUUUUCAGAUACUGAAUGUUGGGAUUUUGGGAUUUUUGGCUGUUUGUCAGGAUUUUGGGAUGUUGGAAUGCUUGGAUCUUGGAUGUUGGGAUUCUUGGAUUUUGGGAUUAUUGGGUUUUCGGAUGUUGGGAUUGUUGGGAUGUCGAGUGCUGGAAUUUUGGGAUGUUUGGAUUAUUGGAUUUUGGGUUGUAGGCUGUUGGAAUUUUGGGGCGUUGAGUGUUGAGAUUUUGGGAAUGUGGGAUUAUUGGGAUUCUGUAUAUCAGAGUUGGGCACUGGAUUUGGGGUGUUGGGUGUUGGGAUUUUGGGAUCUUUUGUGUUGGGUCUUGGAUUUUGGGAUGUUGAAUGUUGGGAUUUUGUGUUUUGGCAUUUGGAGAUCUUGGGAUUUUGGGGUAUUGGGAUUUCUGGAUUUUGGGAGGCUGAAUGUUGGGAUUUGGGUUUGUUGGAUUUUAGGAUUUGGGAUGUUGGGAUUUGGGGAUGUUGGAAUCGUGGGGCAUUGGGAUUUUGGGAUUUGGGGAUGUNUGUUGGGAUUUGGGUUUGUUGGAUUUUAGGACUUGGGAUGUUGCGAUUUCGGGAUGUUGGAAUCGUGGGGCAUUGGGAAUUUGGGAUUUGGGCAUGUUGGAUUUUGGGGUGUUAGGAUUUGGGGAUUUUUGGCUGUUGUAGGUCGGAGUUUUGGGAUGUUGGGAUUUGGGGCGUUGGGAUUUUGGGGCGUUGGGAUUUUAGGUCCAGGAUUUUGGGAUGUCAAAUGUAGGGAUUUGGGCUUGUUGGAUAUUGGGAUUGUUGGAUGUUGGGAUUUCGGGAUGUUGGAAUCCUGGGAUUUAGGAAUGUUGUGAUGCUGAGAUUUUGGAAUGCUGGGACACUGGGAUUUAGGAUUUAGGGAUUUGGGAUUUAGGAGUUUGGGAUUGGGGGGUUGGAGGAUUUAGGAUUUGGUGAUUUGGGAUUUCAAGAUUCGGGAUUUAGGACNUUUUGGGGUGUUAGGAUUUGGGCAUUUUUGGCUGUUGUGGGUCGGAGUUUUGGGAUGUUGGAAUGCUGGGAUCUCAGGUCUUGGGAUUUGGGGCAUUGGGAUUUUGGGAUGUUGGGAUUUGGGGCAUUGGCAUUUUGGAAUGUUGGGAUUUUGGGGCGUUGGGAUUUUAGGUCCAGGAUUUUGGGAUGUCAAAUGUAGGGAUUUGGGCUUGUUGGAUAUUGGGAUUGUUGGAUGUUGGGAUUUCGGGAUGUUGGAAUCCUGGGAUUUAGGAAUGUUGUGAUGCUGAGAUUUUGGAAUGCUGGGACACUGGGGGAUUGGGGAUUUGGGAUUGGGGAUUUGGGCAUUUGAGGCUUUGGAGAUUUACGAUUUGGGGAUUUGAAAAUAUGGGGAUUUGGUAUCUCGGGAUUUGGAAAUUUGGGGAUUUGGGGAUUUUGGAAUUUGGAGACUAGGGAAUUUGUGGUUUAGGAUGCGGAGUUUUGCGAAUUCGGGAUUGGGGAUUUGGUGAUUUGAAAUUUGGGAUUUGGGCAUUUGGGAUUUGGGGAGUUCAGGAUUUGGUGAUUUGGACAUUUUCAGAUUUCAGAAUUUGGGGAUUUCAGGAUUUGGGAAUUUGGGGAUUUUGGGAUUUGGGAAUUUGGGGAUUGGAGAUUUGGGGAUUUUGGAAUUUGGGGAUUUUGGGAUUCGGGAAUUUCAGGAUAUGGGUUUUUUGAAAUUUGGGAUUUUGGGGAUUUGGGAAUUUGGGGGUUUCAGGAUUUGAGAAUUUGGAAAUUUCAGGAUUUGGGAUUUUGGGGAUUUGGGAUUUGAGGAUUUGGGGAUUUGGGAUUUUGGGGUUCGUGGCUGGCCGCGGGGGGGGGGGGGGGGGGGGGGGGGGGGGGGGGGGGGGGGGGGGGGGGGGGGGCCCGCCGCCGGUGAUGGAUCGAGCCCUGCAGCUCCUGCGCCACUUCCACGCGGAAUUCCUGCGGGAAUUCUCCUGAAACCCAGAUUCCUGGGAAUUCUGAACCCCAGAUUCCAGCCUGGAAUUCUCAGGAAGAGGCUCCGGAUCCUCGGGAUUUUGGAAAAAAUUUCAAAAAUCGCGGGAAUUCUCCUGAAACUCAGAUUCCUGGGAAUUCUGAACCCCAGAUUCCAGCCUGGAAUUCUCAGGAAGAGGCUCCGGAUCCUCGGGAUUUUGGAAAAAAAUUCAAAAAUCUCACUGGGAAUUCCUGGCUCUGUAUCCAGGAUGAUGACACGGAAAAACUUGGGAAUUCUAACAGAGGAGACCCCAAAAUUCCUAAAUUUUUUUUUUUUUUAAGGAUUAUUUGGGAUCUGGGAAUUUGGGAUUGGAUUUGGGGAAUUUGUGAUUGGGACUUUUGGGAAUUAGGGAUUGGAUUUGGGAAUUUAGGAUUUGAUUUGGAAUUUGGGCUUGAAUUUUGGGAAUUUGGGAUUGGAUUUUGAGGAUUUAGGAUUGGAUUUUGGGGAAUGAGGGAUUGGAUUUUGGAGAUCUGGAAGCAAAUUUUGGAAUUUGGGAUUGAAUUUUAGAAAUCUGGGAUUGGAUUUGAGGAAUCUGGGUGGGAUUUUUUGGGAACCAGGGAGAGAAUUUGGGAAAUCUGGGAUUGGGAUUUUUGGGAAACUGGGAUUGGGAUUUUGAGAUUUUGGAAGCAAAUUUGGGAAUCUGGGAUUUGACUUGGGAACCUGGGAUUGGAUUUUGGGGUAUUUGGGAAGCUGGAAUUCCAUUUUUGGGAAUUUAGGAUUUGAUUUGGGAAUUUGGGAUCAGAUUCUGGGGAUUUGGGAUUGAAUUUGGGAAUUUGGGAUUAGGAUUGGAAAUCUGGGUGGGAUUUUUUGGGAAUCGGGGAGAGAAUUUGGGAGGCUGGGAUCGGGAUUUUGGGAAUUUGGGAGUCUGGGACUGAGAUAAUCUGGGAUGGGAUUUUUGGGAAUCUGGGAUAGGAUUUUUGGGAAUCUGGGAUUGGAUUUUGGGGAAUGAGGGAUUGGGAUUCUGGGAUUGCAAUUGGGGAAUCUGGAAGCAAAUUUGGGAAUCUGGGAUUGGGAUUUUUGGGAAUCCAGGUUUGGCAUUUGUAAAACCCAGGGAUCAAAUCCCCUUUCCCAGGAACCCAAAUCUUUUUUCUGUGACCAAAGUUCCAACUUCUUGGAAUAAAAUUCCUUUCCAAGAAUAAAAUCCUGGGCUGAAAUAAUCUUUUCCAGGGAAUAAAU
rnacentral:lncRNA from 12 species